GACGAACGCUGGCGGCGUGCUUAACACAUGCAAGUCUAACGGAAAGCCCCUGCUUUUCUGGCUUGCUCAGGUGGCGAACGGGUUAGUGCCUCGUGAGUAACCUCCCCUUUACUUUGUAAUAACCUCAGACAACUGGGACUAAUUCCUGAUAGGAGCCCCACCUGCAUGGUGGGGGUUGGAAAGUUUCGGCGGUUGGGGGUGGUCUCGCGGCUUAUCAUCUUGUUGGUGGGGUAGUGGCCUACCAAGGCUUUGACGGGUCGCCGGGCUGUGAGGGGGACCGGCGCCAUAGGGACUGAGAGACGGCGCAGACACCUACGGGAGGGAGCGGUGGGGAAUAUUGUAGAAUGGGGGGAAGCCUGAGGCAGAGACACCGCGUGUGGAAGAAGGGCGUUCGGGGUGUAAAAAGCGUUCGCCUGUGAGGAGGCGAGAGUGACGGUAACGGGUAAAGAAGCACCGGCUAACUACGUG
rnacentral:rRNA from 1 species